rnacentral:rRNA from 1 species
GACCUGUAUCUCGUACUUUCGAAUUCCCGCGAUUUUAUUCGUGCGGUUUUCGUUAUUUUAUUGUACGAGAUAUAUAUGCUGGUGGAUGUUUAGAAAUUGUAUGCAUUAUAGGCACGAACAUUCGUUUGCUGCUCUAUAUCGUACGAUUUCGAUAUUCGAUACGAUGGGUUUGAUUUUAAUUCACUUUGGUGAAUUAGUCAGAGUCAAUCGUAUUCUGGCAGCGUGGGAAAUGUUGCGGUCAGAGAUGCAAUUUCGUAAAAGAAAUUGUGUUGUCGCGCUCGUUUUUCGCCUGUCGGACCAGCGAAAUUACUUUGAACAAAUUAGAGUGCUUAAAGCAGGCAAAUUUUAUGCCUUGAAUAUAAACAGCAUGGAAUAAUAGAAUAUGAUCUCGAUACUGUUUGUUUAAUGUUUUUCUUUUUUUUUUAAUUAGGAAAAAAAAAACAUUUUUUGUUCGAUGAUAUACGCGCGUUAGCGUGUGUAUUGUCGGCGAAAUGAAAUUGGCUUAAAGUGAACAAUUUUAGGAAGUCUUAAAUGUGAUUUUCUUGUUGUUC